rnacentral:rRNA from 1 species
UCCGCCUGCCCCGUGACUAUACGUUUAACGGCCGCGGUAUUUUGACCGUGCAAAGGUAGCGCAAUCACUUGUCUUUUAAAUGAAGACCCGUAUGAAUGGCAUAACGAGGGCCUAACUGUCUCCUUUUUCCAGUCAAUGAAAUUAAUCUCCCCGUGCAGAAGCGGGGAUAAAACCAUAAGACGAGAAGACCCUGUGGAGCUUUAGACAAAAGACGGACCUUGCAAAACAACCCUAAACAAAGGACAAAACACCAAAGGACCCCGCCCGAAUGUCUUUGGUUGGGGCGACCGCGGGGAAAAACAAAACCCCCACGUGGAAUGGGCGAACAUCGCCCAAAACUAAGAGACACCCCUCUAAGAAGCAGAAUAUCUGACCAUAAAUGAUCCGGCACAGCCGAUCAACGGACCGAGUUACCCCAGGGAUAACAGCGCAAUCCCCUCCCAGAGCCCAUAUCGACGAGGGGGUUUACGACCUCGAUGUUGGAUCAGGACAUCCUAACGGUGCAGCCGCUGUUAAGGUUCGUU